AGCGAACGUUAGCGGCGGGCUUAACACAUGCAAGUCGAGCGAGAAAGGGGGCUUCGGCUCCCCGGUAAAGCGGCGGACGGGUGAGUAACACGUAGGUAACCUGCCCUUCGAUGGGGGACAACCAACCGAAAGGUUGGCUAAUACCGCAUACGUCGUGCGGAGCUGCGGCUCUGUACGGGAAAGGGGGUCGGCUUCGGUCGGCACUCGUCGAAGGAGGGGCCUGCGUCGCAUCAGCUAGUUGGUGGGGUAACGGCUCACCAAGGCAAAGACGCGUAGCUGGUCUGAGAGGAUGAUCAGCCACACUGGGACUGAGACACGGCCCAGACUCCUACGGGAGGCAGCAGUGGGGAAUAUUGGACAAUGGGGGCAACCCUGAUCCAGCCACGCCGCGUGAGUGAUGAAGGCCUUCGGGUCGUAAAGCUCUGUGGCGAGGGACGAAAAAAACGGGCUUAAACUCCCGGGUUUGACGGUACCUCGUUAGCAAGCACCGGCUAACUCCGUG
rnacentral:rRNA from 1 species